rnacentral:rRNA from 1 species
UUACUGGGCGUAAAGGGCGCGUAGGCGGAUCGCUAACCCAGAGGUGAAAUCUCGGAGCUCAACUUCGGAAUUGCCUUUGAUAUUGGCAGAUCUCCGAGUGUGAAGAGAGGUAUGUGAAACUUCCGAGGGUAGAGAUGAAAUUUGGUAGAUAUUCGGAAAGAACACCGAGGGGCGAAGGAGACAUAUUGGUUCAUUACUGACGCUGAGGCGCGAGAAAGCGGCGGGGGAGCAAACAGGAUUUAGAUACCCCUGUUAGUCCACGCCGUAAACGAUGAUUUGCUAGUUGUUGGGCUCCAUGCAGUUCGGGUGACGCAGCUUAUGCCAUUAACGAAUCCGCCUGGGUGAAGUACGGGUCGCAAGAUUAAAACUCAAAGGAAUUUGCACGGGGGCCCGCACAAGCGGUGGAGCACGUGGUUUAAUUUGAAGCAACGCGCAGAACCUUACCACCUUUUGACAUGCCUGGACCGCCAAGGAGACGUGGCUUUCCCUUCGGGGAUUAGGACACAGGUGCUGCAUGGCUGUUGUCAGCUCGUGUCGUGAGAUGUUGGGUUAAGUCCCGCAACGAGCGCAACCCUCGCCAUUAGUUGCCAUCAUUUAGUUGGGAACUCUAAUGGGACUGCCGGUGCUAAGCCGGAGGAAGGUGGGGAUGACGUCAAGUCCUCAUGGCCCUUACAGGGUGGGCUACACACGUGCUACAAUGGCAACUACAGAGGGUUAAUCCUUAAAAGUUAUCUCAGUUCGGAUUGUCCUCUGCAACUCGAGGGCAUGAAGUUGGAAUCGCUAGUAAUCGCGGAUCAGCAUGUUGCGGUGAAUACGUUCCCGGGCCUUGUACACA